rnacentral:rRNA from 1 species
AUUGAACGCUGGCGGCAGGCCUAACACAUGCAAGUCGAACGAGUGGCGGACGGGUGAGUAAUGUCUGGGAAACUGCCUGAUGGAGGGGGAUAACUACUGGAAACGGUAGCUAAUACCGCAUACCAUCGGAUGUGCCCAGAUGGGGUUAGCUAGUAGGUGGGGUAAAGGCUCACCUAGUCGACGAUCCCUAGCUGGUCGGAGAGGAUGACCAGCCAAACGGGAACGAUGCACAGGGCCAGACUACUACGGGAGGCAGCAGUGGGGAAUAUUGCACAAUGGGCGCAAGCCGGAUGCAGCCAUGCCGGGUGUAUGAAGAAGGCCUCGGGUUGUAAAGUACUUUCAGCGGGGAGGCGUUACCCGCAGAAGAAGCACCGGCUAACUCCGUGCCAGCAGCCGCGGUAAUAC